CAGUAGCCACGGUAAUACGAGGGGUGCGAGCGUUAUUCGGAUUGAUUGGGUGUAAAGGGUGUGCAGACGGCUUAUUAAGUCACUUGUUAAAUUCUUCGGCCUAACUGAAGGUCUGCAAGUGAUACUGAUGAGCUAGAGGGUGGAAGAGAGAAGUGGAAUUCUCGGAGUAGCGGUAAAAUGCGUAGAUCUCGAGAGGAACACCAAUGGCGAAGGCAGCUUCUUGGUCCAUUCCUGACGUUCAUACACGAAAGCGUGGGGAGCAAACAGGAUUAGAUACCCCCGUAGUCCCUGUCUCUUAUAA
rnacentral:rRNA from 1 species